rnacentral:sRNA from 1 species
AAAUUGAAGUAAAACUGCACCAUGCCUACAUUGCUCUACUCGACCACACGGUUAGGAUCUGAUACCAUUCCCUAUCAAUUUGAACUUGAAUCUGAUUUAGAAUUAUCAUGUCCUGGCAUUGAAUUUGAACUCAUGGAUACCCUAAAAUACUUGGAUUUUCUUACUCAUUUUAACCACUCUUGUUAAUCCAAGUAGCUAACUCUCCUUAUUAGAGCAGUUAACCCGAACCCAAACCUAAACUUUCUUUCAAGCCCUAUAUCACUUGUGAGUGUUUGUGAGGUCUUAUUUCCAUUGAGCUUGGUAGAAAGUGUUAGGUUCGUAACGACAGAGAUAGUGUCUCAUGUAGUUCUAGUUUGCGUUUUUCGGACUGGAUAGGACUAGCUGGGCGCUUAUAUCAUGGGUUGGGAUGUGUUUAAAAGAAAAAGGUGAAUUCAUUGUUGAUAAGGAAAGGGAAAGAAUUCUAGGGGAAUUAAGCUAAAGAAGUUAGAAAAAACAAAUCUAGUAAAGGGUUUUGGAAUGUUAAAGAAAAGAAUGAGGUUCUUGUUAAAGACUAACUCUUAGAAAACAAAAUAUAUACAAUAAGAUAUUACUAUAAAUACAUAUAUAUUAAUUUUUAUAUAAUUUAUUAUCAAACAUAUAUACAAGGACAUUUAUUUCUACAAAAAGAUAGUAUUCAUAAGUACAAAUAGAUUUAAUUGAUCACACUAAUGUUCAAAUAUUUUUAUGUAAGAAAGUCAUCCUAAUAUAGUUUCUUUUGAUUAUAAUCUGAGGAGAUAAACUAAAAGAUUUUCUUGCUUUUUCGUUUUUGACUUCAAAAUAUAUAUAUAAUACAACCAUUUGUAACAAAGCAUAAACAUCAAAAACAAAAUUAAGUCAAAAUCAUA